rnacentral:piRNA from 2 species
UCCUUUAUUACCUGUGGUCUUGGUAAAUAC